ACUCAAUGGCCUCUCACCAAAGCACGUACGUGCGCGUGGCGCCGUCGCCGCGCUUCAAGGACUCGCAGACACCGGCGUCGAGUGAGCUCAUCCAGAUGCGGGUGCAGCACAUGCUGCCGCAGACGACGCAGCGCGCGAAGGAGCGGGUGGGGAACCUGAAGAGACUCUAUGCGGUGCCGCACGCGCUCCUGCUGCGCGAGCACGCGACGGCUAUGGCAGAGACCCUCCACCGCCUGCGCCUUGUCAAGGCGGUGCGCAACAUUAAAGUUCUAGGAGCCGGCGGCAGUAGCAACGCUGUCGCCGGCGCGCUCUGCUUGCCGUUCCACUCCUGUGCAGCGCUGCCCGCCGUGCCGGCGGUGGUCAGCGGCGACAGCGGGUCUUCAAGUACUUCGUCUGCGCGUGUGCUGACCGGAUCUGCAGAUGGUCUCCUUACGCUGUGGGAUGCAAAGCACUGCACCCCGCUGCGCAGCCAGUCCACGUACGCGGACUCGCACGGAUGGGGCCGUGUCAAGUCGAUUGUAGUUCACCCGCGGCAGCAGGGCGGAGCAAGCGCGGCCUCGGCCACGUCGUUUGCGUUCACGGCGAGCAUGUUUCAACGUGUCGUGCGUGUGUGGCGGGUGACGUUGAGUUGCGGUGACAGUGACGCGCCGGACAAAGACUCUGGUGCACUGCUACAGCCCCUGACAACAGCGUCCACCACGUCUGCCGAGACGGUGGACAGCAGCUCUGGCGGCGGCGUUGGGGGCCUACAGCAGCUUGCCCUGGACCCUACAGGCGCCCUCCUCGCCGCAACGCACGCCACCGGGAUCGUGCAUGUGUGGGAUGCGCGGGCUGUGCUCGAGGGCACGUCGUCGUCCGCAGCAGCGAGCCCCGUCGCGGACACGUCUCCACUCACACAUCUCUACGCGCAGGACGGCUACGAGACGGCGGGGGCCACCCUCGGCAUCGCUUUUCAUCCGGACGGCUCGCUGCUCACGACAAGCGAUGCUGGCGGUCGCAUUGUUGCCUGGGACACACGCAGCGGCCAGCUUGCCUUCCACACCGGCGGCCGGGUUGGCGGUCACCUGCGAGCCGCGCUGUGCGUGGCGUGGUCUCCUUGCGGCGUGCGCGUUGCGUCGGGCGGCGGCGAUGGUGUCGUGCAUCUCUACGAUGCCCGUAAGCUGAGCAAGGCGGGGCUGGGGCCGCACAACGACGCCGGUGGCGGCGCUGCCCCGUUCCAGUUACUCGGCCACGACGACGCUGUCACGUCGCUGAGCUUUUAUGCGAACCCCCUCAGCUCCGGUGGCCGUGGCGCCCUGAGCCAGGUGCUGCCGAUCGGCUUGGUGACGACGUCGCUGGAUCACACCGUCCGCAUCUGGGAUGCGGACACGGGACUGUGCGUGCGCACCCUAGAUGCUGGCAUGCCUCUCUACGCGCAGUGUCGACCGCAGCUCCCGCCAGUCUCCUCCCGCUUCGCUUCGUCCACGGCGAUUAUGGUGGUUGGGCACAGCAAGAACUGGCUGCUCUACGACGUCGAUACGGCGGACGAGGUGGUCGUUGCGGGCGGCUCAGGCAUCACGGUGACGGAGAACGACAUCGUCGUCUCCGCCCACGGCUCCGCUGAAGACAUGCGGUUUUCUGUGCUGACUUCGUAUGCCAGCCGGCUCACAAACGACAACGAAGAAACCGACAGCGGCAGCAGCGAUGACGAUGACGAGAUGAUGGCGCUGCGCAAGAAGCCGCUGCCGUCGCAGGGGCUGGUGAAGAGCGCAGCUGCCAGCGCACUCCAGAACGGCGGCCACGACGACGAGGACGACAGCGACGAAGAUGAGAUGGAAAUGCUCAGGAAAACGAAGUGACGCAGCCGCUGCGUGUGUGCGUGUGCGUGUGCGUGCGGGACACCGCAGUUGUCCAUGACGCCGUCGACGGCGAUUACACGGAACAAGGCG
rnacentral:misc_RNA from 1 species